GACGAACGCUGGCGGCGUGCUUAACACAUGCAAGUCGAACGCUGAAGCUCAGCUUUUGUUGGGUGGAUGAGUGGCGAACGGGUGAGUAACACGUGAGUAACCUGCCUCCUUCUUUGGGAUAACGCCCGGAAACGGGUGCUAAUACUGGAUAUUCACUGGUCUUCGCAUGGGGGUUGGUGGAAAGGGUUUUUCUGGUGGGGGAUGGGCUCGCGGCCUAUCAGCUUGUUGGUGGGGUGAUGGCCUACCAAGGCUUUGACGGGUAGCCGGCCUGAGAGGGUGACCGGUCACAUUGGGACUGAGAUACGGCCCAGACUCCUACGGGAGGCAGCAGUGGGGAAUAUUGCACAAUGGGCGCAAGCCUGAUGCAGCGACGCCGCGUGAGGGAUGGAGGCCUGCGGGUUGUGAACCUCUUUCGCUCAUGGUCAAGCCGCAACAAUGGUUGUGGUGAGGGUAGUGGGUAAAGAAGCGCCGGCUAACUACGUG
rnacentral:rRNA from 1 species